rnacentral:rRNA from 1 species
UGGUAGUAGCAAAUAUUCAAAUGAGAACUUUGAAGACUGAAGUGGAGAAAGGUUCCACGUGAACAGCAAUUGGACGUGGGUUAGUCGAUCCUAAGAGAUAGGAGAAAUCUGUUGUAAGGUCUGGCUAUCUUCGGAAAGCCGCUUCUAUCGAAAGGGAAUCGGGUUAAUAUUCCCGAACCAGGACGUGGAUAUUGAGUGGUAACACAAGCAAAACCGGGAACGAUUGCGGGAGCCCUGAGGAGAGUUGUCUCUUCUUCUUAACAGACACAGUAACCCUGGAAUCGGAUU